UCUGACACACACCCACACCCACGUAUCCCUGAUCUUUGUGAUUUUUUGUUCAGAAAAAAUAGUUCAGGUUUUCAGGUGAGAAUUCAUUUGUUGAAAGCUGUAGUUUUAAAUUUAAUUAUUCAUGUAUUAGUCAAUGAAAAGGCAGCAUUUAUUUAGUAGGAUUUCAAAUAUAUACCUUUUUUUCUUAAUGCAUUCACUGUAAUUUUUGAUAUAAUGAAAAAGAAAAGUACUACUGUAAACAAUUUCAGACCUUGACCUCAUUCUUACUAUAAUUGGCAAUGUAAUCUAUUUUCUCUUUGCUGUUAGCUUUUAUCAGGAGUUUCUGUGCAUAGUGCAACUAUUUGGCCGUAAAGAGUUAAAAACUGAAAGAAAAACAAAAAGAGUAUAGGAAGGUCCAUCCAAGAAGAGGAAUCUUUCUUUUUCUUGGUAAUUUUCCUACAGAAUCAACCAACCACUGAGCUUUCUUAACUUCAUUUCCAGGGAGGGGUGAGAAAGUGCUAGACAUGGACUAAAGAAAACUAUCUGAUAAAAAUAAAUUAACAAAUUUAGUAGUUGGGGUGAAAAUGAAAUGUAAUAAAAACAAUAGAGUGCCUUUUGCUGUAGCUGUGAAUGAUAGUCUAUAAAAAUCAGUAAGAACAGAAAAGUGGUUAAGAUGGUAAAUAUCAUGUUAUGUGUAUUUUAUUGCAAUAAAAACUGGAAGGAAAAAGAAACCAGAAAUGAGAAAAGUUAUGAAUUGUGAUUUGACAGGAGAACUUCAGUUUCUGAAGAUCACAAUGUCAACAUGAGAAAGGCCAUUCAAAUAAAGCUAACUGGCACGUGUUUAAAAUCUUCCAUGUCAACUACAGUUAAGUUUGGAUAUUUUUCCCAUUUAAACUAUGAUCAUAGUUUAAUCCAUAGAGUAGGAACAGCAAAGCAAAGGAAAAGAAAGCUUGUAGCAGAGGAUAUUCUUGGAAAUUGAUGCCUUUCUCUAGUAUCCUGUGCAGUUUGAAAGCAAAUAAUUUAAUUGGAUGAAAAUCAGUUAAGCAUCCAUUAAGGAGCUGUUUGAGAACAUUAUAUCAUUAAGUAAUAGUUGCUGAUUUUUCUUAACUGCAAGUAGGAAAUGUGAAGAAAACGUUGGAGUAAAGGGGACAUUUUGGAAUAACAGUUUACCUAUAAAACCUGCUCUAUAGUUGUUACAAUUCUAUCUCGCUCAUUUGUUGUACUUUUUAGGAUUUCAUUGGUGCUCAUCAGUAGGGAGAAGAAACUAAGACUAGAAGAAACCUAGACAGGAAAAACAGGUCUCUCUGCUGGUUGAUGGUUCUUAAACUACUUUUGGUCUAUGGAUUCUUUGAAAGUUUGAUGAAAAUUCAUUUGCAUAUACCCCAAACUAUCAAUAUACAGAAUUAACGUUGAGGGUUCAUGGAUUGUCUGAAACUUACUCAUGAGUCAUCCAGAGUUCUGUGGAUCAAGAGAGAAGAAUCUUUGCUCUAAGAUUUGCCUUCAAGUUGGGUAGUUAGCAGUCCGAUGCCCUGACUAGACUUUGUCUCAUCGGUGGUCUAAUUUGGAAGAUGGUAGAUAGCAGUAGAAGGAUUUAGGCAGUGCUCAUAUGGGAAGCUGGGGAGGCCUCAGAAUGAAUUCUCCAGAUCAUCACAUUAUUCCAAACCAGACUCCAGACUACAGCUGAGAAUGGAAGGGGCAGGGUUUCCCCUCUCCAUAGCAGUUUCAAACAGUUAAGUUAACCAGGUUCACAAUCCUCACUAACAAGGACAGCCCUAAUAGCACUACAGUACUAAGCAGGAACUUGAGGCAAAUCUUCCAGCGUGAGUGAACCCAGUAGGGAUUUGAAUGCUAUGUGCUGACUGGAGGGCCCACUGGAGCUAAGGGCUUAUGCUUGCCAAAUGGCAAACCUUUUGCAGUGAACUAAAUUUGUAAGCAUCAAGGAGACUUUUUUUUGCACUUCAUGCCAUGUUUGUAAUUACCUUAGGAAUUUUAGAGCUGAAACCUAUGACUGAAUAUCAUGGACUGUAGUUGAGUAUGGCUAAAAAUGUGAGGUAGAGUUCAUGGUGUCUGUACAUUUUAUUUCUGAACAUGAACAUGGACUGAAGUAUAUAGAAGGUAUUGCAGUAACAAUACAUCUAUUGUUAUUGUUAUUGUAAAUGACAUUUACCCUUUACAUAGAAGACCACACAUAAAGCUGCCUUGUAUAGAAAUGAUAUCUUAAGCGCUGCUGUUCUCCAUAUGCAAAGGGCAGAUUAGAGCUUGUUAUAUUAUGCGGUUUCCUAGCCAACUCUCUGAAUCAACCCGGUUGUCAGGCAUGACCAGAUUUUUUCUCUUCUAAGUUAGUGAUUGAGACUGUGCUUUAAGAAGAACAUAUUUAUUAUUUGGUAAUUUUUCCUUCCUCUUAAUGGCUUGCAUCAUCAGACUCAUCCCCCUGAGCAUGGCCUGAUUCAGUAUGUCAUCUGGCAUAUCCACACCUGCCACAUUUCAGCCCUGCUCUGUCAGGCAGAAAAGUCCAAGCAACAUGCUGUUUAAAUGGAGCCAUGCUGACAGUUUCCGUUCAUUCAAAUAACAUCUGUGAGAUUGCAUGGAUUAACAUUCAGAUGACAGAAAUCUUGUUUUUAUUCAAGUAAAGAGAUAAGGACUGGUUCAUUUUAUCCAUGGGCAGGCACUAGAGAAGACUCAUGUCUCCUCACUGGCAUGGAUCAGUGAUUGUUAUUUUACUAAUGGUUUUACAUCUAGCCUGCCAAUAAAUUUAGGCCAGGGUCCUACUACCCUUAUAAAGAAAACUUCACUGGAUAUGCAAAUAGUGCUAUGUUUCUUAGUAUUGGGAAAUUGUAUUCAACUAAUUAAAAACCUCAUUAAGUGUCCCUUCUCUCACUGCACUAAAAGAAUCUACUUUAGAAACUUCUGGGUUUGCCCUAACUCCUCCACAUGCCUGCUUCAUUAUUCAGGAGGAUGGGAUGUAAAACAUGUAUGUUAGAAUGACAGUGCUGUGUCAGGGAUUGCUUUUGGUCAGUUGGUAAGUAUUACAAGCUCUGUGACCUGAGGGAGACUGAGGAACACGGUGGGAGGAAAUGGUGGAGGUCAAUAUGCAGAACACAGGUGUGUAUAGAUUCUUCUAUUCUGGGAACUGAUAACUUUAUUUCCACAUUGGAGUAUGGACACCUUGCAAGGAGCUGCUCAUCAGCAGGUGUAGACCUAAGGACCAUUUGCAGAGCACUAAUCAUAAAGAAGGUGUCUUUAUGUAAGCUGCCUAUUUGUGUAGCUUGGGACAGGUGGUCUUCGUGAGUGAAGAAUUGCUUUUUUAUUGUUGUAAGUGCCGAAUCAUAAAUAUAAGCCUUGACACAACCCUAAAGUCUAGUGUUUUUGAACUCUUUUUUUCCUGGGCCAUUCCUAGAAAAACCUGGGAGGUAGAGUAGAUUAGUGUCUGAUGUCCGCCUGCUCUUUGUUUCCACUCCUUAAUGUCCUCUCCCCUUCAGAAACCCAUGGUGUCUCAGGUCUCCUUUCUUUCUUAUCUCCAUUAAAACCUGUAUCUAGUAAAAAAAAAGUCAGAAUUAUAUCCACAUCCACAUUAAACUUAAAAAAUAACUGAUUGCUGACUUUUGAUUUACCUGAAACAAACAGUAAAACUGGACAAAAUACCUGAAACAGUGGUUUUCAAGACAUCCAGUGAAGGACAAUAAUCUCUGAGAAAUAGGGGAAAAUGAAGUGAGGCCUAUGAUGGCCUCAACUUAACUACACUGAGAGAGGGGUGGGCUAUGUUGUGCUGGUACAGGGGGAUCCAGGUGUAGCCUGGUGGACUGAGUUGAGAAAAGUGAGGAUGUUUUUGGUUGUCUUUACGACUGGGGAUGUUGUAGACAUCUAGUGGACAGCAGUUGAUGGAACAGUCCUGAAUAACAGAAAAAUUUCUAGCCAAAUUGUGUAAGUGCCACUGAAGAAACACUGAUACGUGGCCUCUGCCAAGAAUGCUGAGGAGGGUUAGGGAAUAUCCAAGACUUUCUGGUGUAACGAUACUGGGAUGCUGAGGAUAGGAUAAUUUCUGAAAACAUGAGAAGCAUACAGUUAACUAUUUAGUUUAAGAAUUAUUUACAGAAGAAAAUAUUACGACAUGGUAUGUAUUUCAGCCACUCUGAGGGCUUUAGGGAGAAUUUUCUUUGUUUAGGAUAUUGUAAAAACCUGUGGUCCUGAAGCAUCCCUUCACUUGUAAUACAUUCUGAUCGCUUUUGAAUUUUAAUUUUAUCCUGGCAUUGCCUCUUGUGAACAGGUGUCUUUAAAUAAAGAAACAUAUGGUUUUAAUGUGGCUUCAUGAACUGAGAGUCAUAUUCCCGCAGAUGAAAUGACACUUCAGGCAAAGUGCAGGCUGCCCACCUCAGAGCUUUCUAAUCAUUAUUUAUAAGUAAACAUCUUGCCCUCUUGGUGAUAAAUGAAAAUAAGUAACUCCUUCUAUAUAAUGACUAUAUUAAUUAUGAAAGCAAAAUCAUAAUUAUGCCAGAAAAACAAAUCUUUACUUUCAAAGAAUAACAUUAUUUUUGUCUUAAAGUUGAUUAACAUAGAUAGAAAUGAAUACUUGGGUGUUAACAGACGAUUGACAUAUUCAACAGAAUUAUUUUCACACAUAGCUUGCCUUUAUGGAGGAGAGUUGAAGAUAAUUGUUGGCUAAUACGCAUUUCACUUCCUUUGCUCCAUCAGUGCUCUUUGAGUGUUAUUCCAUGGAGAAGAAUAGAGCUAGAUGCUAAGAAAAUGAACAAGACGGCCACUGCCUUUGCUGUCUUCCUUGUUUAAAUUACUGUCUGUUCAUACAGUGAAGUGGUUGGGGCUGGAGAUGGGUGUUUCUAAGUGGGUUUGGUGCAGAAAGGAUACAGAGAAAGAAUCAAUCUGGAGUGGAGUGGGAGUUGGGGUCUGGGGAACGUUUCUGGCACCAGUGAAUGACUCCGAGCAAAUCACAUUACCCACUGGGCAUCAGCUCCUUCAUCUGCAAAAUGAAUGAAUUGCUCUUUGAUCUCAAAGGGUUUUUCCAGCUUUAAUUUAUGAAUGGAGGAAAUCUGCUCUUUGCCUCCAGGGAUGGGCUUUCCUCCCACAGCAAAGUUUAUAUGCUAAGCAGAGACCUUACUUUAUCCUUCCCUGAUGAUUCUCUUCCUGGUUCACCCUGUUAUACAGAGCAAGAUGACGGACUGGCUGAAAUCACGGACUUUUCAUUCUUGUCUCCUGAUCUUUUUGCCUUAGUGGCUGUGCAGUUUUCCAGCACCAUUAUUGAAGAGGCUGCUCUUUCCUUGGUACAUAUUCUUGGCUCCUUUAUUGUUGUUGUGAAUUAAUUGACAUAUAUGUGGGGGUUUAUUUCUGCGUUCUCUAUUGUGUUCCAUUGAUCUUUGUGCCUCUUUUUAUUCCAGCAUCAUACUGUUCUGAUUACUAUGCCUUUGUAAUAUAGCUUGAAGUCAGGGAGCAUGAUGCCUCCUGUUUUGUACUUCUUUCUCAGGAAUGCUUUGGCUAUUGAGGGUGUUUUAUAGUUCCAUAAAUUUUAAGAUUGUUCUAUUUUUGUGAAACAUGCCAUUAGAAUUUGAUGGAGAUUGCAAUGAAUCGGUAGAUUUCUUUGGGUAGUAUGGACACUUUAAUAACACUGAUUUUUAAAAUCCAUGAACAUUAAACAUCUUUCCAUUUA